rnacentral:tRNA from 1 species
GAGAGAUGGGCAUCGAACCCAUAUUUGAGNAAUCAAAAUUCUCAGUAAUUCCAUUUUACUACUCCC